UGGUCUUUACAGAGGAUGUGUAGUCU
rnacentral:piRNA from 1 species